AUUGAACGCUGGCGGCAUGCCUUACACAUGCAAGUCGAACGGUAACGGGCCUUCGGGUGCCGACGAGUGGCGAACGGGUGAGUAAUACAUCGGAACGUGCCCGAUCGUGGGGGAUAACGAGGCGAAGGCUUUGCUAAUACCGCAUACGAUCUACGGAUGAAAGCAGGGGACCGCAAGGCCUUGCGCGGACGGAGCGGCCGAUGGCAGAUUAGGUAGUUGGUGGGAUAAAAGCUUACCAAGCCGACGAUCUGUAGCUGGUCUGAGAGGAUGAUCAGCCACACUGGGACUGAGACACGGCCCAGACUCCUACGGGAGGCAGCAGUGGGGAAUUUUGGACAAUGGGCGCAAGCCUGAUCCAGCCAUGCCGCGUGCAGGAUGAAGGCCUUCGGGUUGUAAACUGCUUUUGUACGGAACGAAAAGCCUUCUUUUAAUACAGGAGGGUCAUGACGGUACCGGAAGAAUAAGCACCGGCUAACUACGUG
rnacentral:rRNA from 1 species